rnacentral:rRNA from 2 species
UGGGGAAUAUUGGGCAAUGGGCGCAAGCCUGACCCAGCAACGCCGCGUGAGGGAAGGAGGUCUUCGGAUUGUAAACCUCUGUCCUUGGGGACGAAAAAAAUGACGGUACCCGAGGAGGAAGCUCCGGCUAAGUACGUUCCAGCAGCCGCGGUAAUAAGUAGGGAGCGAGCGUUGUCCGGAAUUACUGGGCGUAAAGGGUGGGUAGGCGGCAGGUCAAGUCAGAUGUGAAAUCCCCGGGCUUAACUCGGGUGGUGCAUUUGAAACUGGUCUGCUUGAGUGCAGGAGAGGAAAGCGGAAUUCCUAGUGUAGCGGUGAAAUGCGUAGAUAUUAGGAGGAACACCAGUGGCGAAGGCGGCUUUCUGGACUGUAACUGACGCUGAGGCACGAAAGCGUGGGGAGCAAACAGG